UACGUAGGUGGCAAGCGUUAUCCGGAAUUAUUUGGCGUAAAGAGCGCGCAGGUGGUUAAUUAAGUCUGAUGUGAAAGCCCACGGCUUAACCGUGGAGGGUCAUUGGAAACUGGUUGACUUGAGUGCAGAAGAGGGAAGUGGAAUUCCAUGUGUAGCGGUGAAAUGCGUAGAGAUAUGGAGGAACACCAGUGGCGAAGGCGGCUUCCUGGUCUGCAACUGACACUGAGGCGCGAAAGCGUGGGGAGCAAACAGG
rnacentral:rRNA from 1 species